GCAGUUUUCGAAAAUGCUAGAUUCAUCAGGAACGGCCUGCCACGGAAGGCAGGUCGAGUGAACAACGACACAUGGAUGUGGCGUGUGAACGGUUCCGGAAAGAACCAAUAGUCCCGGGCAUUUUCGUAAAAACGGCUU
rnacentral:ncRNA from 1 species